CGAGUAAGCCGGGUGAUCGCUGCCCCGCCGGAGCGUCCCGAUUUAUCGGGGCUGGCAUUGGCGGGGGAGAGGAAAGUCCGAACUCCAUAGGACAGUGCGCUCGCUAACGGCGAGGGUUGGAGGGGGAUUCCCACGAUACGUCGGGGGACGUACGCCUCCGACACGGAAAGUGCCACAGAAAAUAUACCGUCCGUCAACUGACGGAUAAGGGUGAAAAGGUGCGGUAAGAGCGCACCGUCCCGGUGGUGACAUCGGGCGCACGGCAAACCCCGCACGGAGCAAGACCAAAUAGGAGAGGAGGGACGGUCCGUCCCGUAAUGUGUCUGUAGCGCCGCUCUGAAGGCAGGGACUAGGUUCUAGGGACUAGGUGCUAGGGACUAGGUGCUAGGGACUAGGUGCUAGGGACUAGGUGCUAGGGACUAGGUGCUAGGGAAAAAUCAAACCGUUGUGGGUUCCUUUUCCUAAUCCCCAAUCCCUAGUCCCUAGCCCCUAGCCCCUAGCACCUGCCUUCAGACCGGCGCUACAGGCGGCAGGCAACUCUCGGGUAGGUCGCUCGAUCCCGCGAGCAAUCGCGGGGCUAGAGGAAUGAUCGCCGCCCCGUCCUUCGCCGCAAGGCACGGGAUGGGGAGACAGAAUUCGGCUUACAGGCUUGCUCGCGCA
rnacentral:RNase_P_RNA from 1 species